rnacentral:lncRNA from 10 species
CUAAAACACAGAAUACCAAUGACUCUUAGACUCAUUCCCGGGCCUCCGGCUGACCACGGGAAAGGGGAUCUUCAGGAGCGGGUGUCUCAUGGCUGGGAAGAGGACGGCACAGGAGGGCUGGGGAACCCGAAUUGCAGCCUGAAUGGCCAGUGUCCUUUCUCCAGAAUGCAGUUCUCCCUUGCUCAGAAGAAAUGAGUCUGCCAGUGGGUACAACAUGAGAUGAUACUUCCACCCCCAUUGGUGACAGCCCUCACCUAGCUAUCAAGACAGUGUUCGACUUCCUUCACUCCUUCCAGGGGCCAGCAUGUGGCUGGCCACUGUCCACCCUCAGGGGUUGUGAACUGAAUUAAAGGGUUGCGUCCUUCAUCCAUUUUCUUUGCUGAACUGUCUUGAAUUUUACCCUAAGUUCAAAAUGAAGCAGACCAUAGCUGAGUUUAAAGGAGAUCCGAUUGACAUUGGGAAGUGGCACCCAAUAAGAUGGCUGUUUCUUCCGCCUGCUCCAGGGCUCGCCAACAGGAGAACUGAAAGCUGAAGCAUCUCAACCUGCAGAUACAUCUCAAAGGCCCCUUCAGCCGAUGUCCUCAGUGCCCUUGACACAGCCCCUUGGCACUUGCCUUCCACACACAUGCUGCUGCACCAGUUUCCUCCUGGUAGCAUCUUCCUUUCCGCCUGAGGAUUUCCCAGGCAUCCUGCCUCCAAGAAAGUCAGAAGUCAGUGCCUUCCUGAGAGCCGGUGAGAGCUCCGUCUCCCUUGGGCAAGUGGUGCUGAUGCCUGUUCCCUGCAUCCAUCUCUCAGAAGCCACAGCAGAACUGAGCUCCAGGGGCCACUGCGAGAAGCAUUUAUGGAGCUCGUGGAGUGAGGCAUCUCUUUAAUCCCUUCAGUAAGUCAGUGUGGGCCAAGGAGUCUGAGGAUCAGAGACCUUGUGACUUUUUAAGUGAAGAUUUACUAUGUGCUGGGGCCCAUUGUGUUUUAUUUUAUUGACUCGUCCCAAGCUCUAAGAGGGAGAGACCUUGAUUGUCCCAAUUUCACUGACACAGUUUGGGAAGGUUAAAACAUGAUGAAAGGAAAUAGACUGGAAUGAUACAGUAAUAUGGAAUUGAGCAUUUUCACCAACAUUUUUACAUGUUUUAAAAUGUCAUUUUCUGGCCAGGGGUGGUGGCUCACGCCUGUAACCCCAGCACUUUGGGAAGCUGAGGCUGGUGGAUCACUUGAGGCCAGGAGUUUGUGACCAGCCUGGCCAACACAGUGAAACCAUGUUUCUACUAAAAAUAUAAAAAAAUGGCUUGGUGUGGCCGUGCGCACUUUAAUACCAGGUACUUGGAAGGCCGAGGCAUGAGAAUCACUUGAAAC